UGAGUAACCUGCCCUUAACUCUGGGAUAAGCCUGGGAGACUGGGUCUAAUACCGGAUAUGACUCCUCAUCGCAUGGUGGGGGGUGGAAAGCUUUAUUGUGGUUUUGGAUGGACUCGCGGCCUAUCAGCUUGUUGGUGAGGUAAUGGCUCACCAAGGCGACGACGGGUAGCCGGCCUGAGAGGGUGACCGGCCACACUGGGACUGAGACACGGCCCAGACCUCCGUACGGGAGGCAG
rnacentral:rRNA from 1 species